rnacentral:siRNA from 1 species
AGAUAAGUAUGGAUGUGAUUAUCG